rnacentral:misc_RNA from 1 species
CCUCCUUUCUAAGGAGCUAUAUGUUUUACUGUGAAACAUUACGACUUUGAUUGAUAUUCAGUUUUCAAAAGCUUUAGUUUGGGUAUAUAGCUGGGUGUAUAGCUCAGUUGGUUAGAGCGCUGUGCUGAUAACGCAGAGGUCUCUGGUUCGAUUCCAGAUAUGCCCAUUUAGUGUGGGGGCGUAGCUCAGUUGGGAGAGCGUCUGCCUUGCACGUAGAAGGUCAGCGGUUCGAAUCCGCUCGUCUCCACUCUGCUUUGUGCGUUGUUAGCUCAAAGCGAUGAUCUUUGACAAGUACAUGAAUUUCUUUUGAUUAAAAGCUUCUUAGUAUAAAAAAAUUGUUAAGCUACUAAGGGCCUACGGUGGAUGCA